UACGAAGGGUGCAAGCGUUACUCGGAAUUACUGGGCGUAAAGCGUGCGUAGGUGGUUCGUUAGGUCUGUCGUGAAAGCCCCGGGCUCAACCUGGGAAUGGCGAUGGAUACUGGCGGGCUAGAGUGCGGUAGAGGAGAGUGGAAUUCCCGGUGUAGCAGUGAAAUGCGUAGAGAUCGGGAGGAACAUCAGUUGCGAAGGCGGCUCUCUGGACCAGCACUGACACUGAGGCACGAAAGCGUGGGGAGCAAACAGG
rnacentral:rRNA from 1 species